CCUUCCCACAGCUACGAAGGAAUGGUUUUACUACUGAACCAGUAAUUGAAUAUAUCCAGCUGUACAGCAAUGCUACAACGCAGUCAUGUACCAAAGGAUGAUGCAUUUCUAUGCUUUGUUAUCCAAAGUCUUUUUUUAAUAGAUAUCAACCAUUAAGAAGCAGGAAAGUUUAGAGAUUGAUCUGUCAGUCCGAAUGGAAACUGUAGCUGCUAAGACACCCUCAUAAUAUCCCAGUGUUUUGCAGAGUGCCUCAUGCAAGCUCUGCAGUCGCACUUCAUAAAGCAUCUCCAUAGACCAUCUCCUGGCAGCGUCACUGCACUUCCCUUAAUACAAACACUUUUAAAAUGCCUCUUAGGCUUUUCCUUCCCUUCCGUGCUCACUCUCCUGCUCCUCAGGAAAAAGUCUUUUGGUUUGAAAGGAGAAUAGUACAGACCCGUCACUCAUUAUUUCAAGUUCACUGAUUCAUUUUAGAGUCAUUUCUUCCGCUUCUGCUUUAUGUCUUUAGUCUUCUUAAACUUCUUCUGCUGCUUGUGUCCUCUUACCGUUUCUAGUUUUCUUUUCUUCUCACUUUUCACACUGACGAUGGAAGCGUUCUGUCCUGCUUUGCUCAGCACCUCAUUCCAUUCUUCAUCAUCACCCCGGAUAAUAUAUUGUGUAAGGUCCAUUUCCUUCAGCUUCCCCACUUCUUGCUUGUGUUUUUCUUGGAAUUCCUUUGCAGCUUCUUCCAAAUCAUCAUUUAAAGAUUUGAUUGUUGGCUCCAUUACAAUAUCCUUUGUUGCUACCA
rnacentral:lncRNA from 1 species